UACGAAGGGGGCUAGCGUUGUUCGGAAUUACUGGGCGUAAAGGGCGCGUAGGCGGCCUCGUCCGUCCGGCGUGAAAUGCCUGGGCUUAACCUAGGAAUUGCGCUCGAUACAGCGAGGCUAGAGUGUGGGAGAGGUUGGUGGAAUUCCCAGUGUAGAGGUGAAAUUCGUAGAUAUUGGGAAGAACACCGGUGGCGAAGGCGGCCAACUGGACCACAACUGACGCUGAGGCGCGAAAGCGUGGGGAGCGAUCCGG
rnacentral:rRNA from 1 species